GGCUGGGCGAUAUGGACCAAAAGUCAUAUCCCGAUAUAUUUAGGCUGAAUAUCGAUAUACGAUAUAUAUCCCGAUAUUUUUUCCGCAAAGUGAGAGCAAAUGUUCUGUCAAAGCCAAAUAUGACAUCACAACCUAGUUUUAUUGAAACCGGCUAUUUCAGUGAACGGGUGCAAAAUCAAAUGAAUAAAUAAUAAACAGGUUUCUUCACCUGGUUCAUAAUUAAAUGCUCAGCUGUUCAAAUAACAAUAAAAUGUAAACAUAAAUACUGUAUAACAACAGGAGUACCUUUU